CCUUCGCUGAUGAGUAACCUUUUGACUUUCGUUCUUCUGAGUCUGCUGAAGCCACUUGUGACUCUGAGAAGG
rnacentral:snoRNA from 1 species